rnacentral:rRNA from 1 species
CACACCGCCCGUCGCUACUACUGAUUGAAUGGCUCACUGAGGCCUUCGGACUGGCUCAGGGAGGUUGGCAACGACCACCCCGAGCCGGAAAGGUGGUCAAACUCGGUCAUUUAGAGGAAGUAAAAGUCGUAACAAGGUUCCGUAGGUGAACCUGCGGAAGGAUCAUUGAAGAGGGGGGCUUCGCGCCCCCUCCCCGUAUUACCCGGGGGAACCCUCCCGCGGCAGGGGGCCCUUGACCGGGCAUCUCGAGACCCCCCGUGUGGCCACACGGGGGGGCACCCUCCCGCGGCGGCGACCCUUGACCCCAACCCCCCGUCCUUGCAGAACCCCCUGUUUCCUCGGCGGGCUCGCCCGCCGAGGAGGACCCCCAUCAAAACCCCUUGAAGUGCCUGCAGUAAACGUCCACGCGAGUAAAAUCGAAUCAAAACUUUCAACAACGGAUCUCUUGGUUCUGGCAUCGAUGAAGAACGCAGCGAAAUGCGAUAAGUAGUGUGAAUUGCAGAAUUCAGUGAAUCAUCGAAUCUUUGAACGCACAUUGCGCCCUUUGGCAUUCCUUAGGGCAUGCCUGUUCGAGCGUCAUCUAACCACUCAAGCGCUGCUUGGUGUUGGGCGCCUGUCCCGCCUCCGCGCGCGGACUCGCCUCGAAGACAUUGGCGGCCCGUGCAACGGCCAUGAGCGCAGCAGACCCGCGCCUCACGGACCCCCGCGCGGGCGCCCACCAAGCGCACCCCCCAACGUUUGACCUCGGAUCAGGUAGGGAUACCCGCUGAACUUAAGCAUAUCAAUAAGCGGAGGAAAAGAAACCAACAGGGAUUGCCCCAGUAACGGCGAGUGAAGCGGCAACAGCUCAAAUUUGAAAUCUGGCCCCCCCGGGGGCCCGAGUUGUAAUUUGCAGAGGGUGCUUUGGCGUCGGCAGCGGCCUAAGUUCCUUGGAACAGGGCGUCAUAGAGGGUGAGAACCCCGUACGUGGCCGCCCGCCUUCGCCGUGUAAAGCCCCUUCGACGAGUCGAGUUGUUUGGGAAUGCAGCUCUAAAUGGGAGGUAAAUUCCUUCUAAAGCUAAAUACUGGCCAGAGACCGAUAGCGCACAAGUAGAGUGAUCGAAAGAUGAAAAGCACUUUGGAAAGAGAGUCAAACAGCACGUGAAAUUGUUGAAAGGGAAGCGCUUGCAGCCAGACUUGCCCGCGGUCGUUCUUCUUCCGCGGGCAGGCCAGCAUCAGUCUGGGCGGUCGGAUAAAGGCCCCGGGAACGUAGCUCUCUCCGGGGAGUGUUAUAGCCCGGGGCGCCAUGCGGCCAGCCCGGACUGAGGUCCGCGCAUCUGCCAGGAUGCUGGCGUAAUGGCUGUAAGCGGCCCGUCUUGAAACACGGACCAAGGAGUCUAACAUCUAUGCGAGUGUUUGGGUGUCAAGCCCGGGCGCGCAAUGAAAGUGAACGGAGGUGGGAACCCCCCCCGGGGCGCACCAUCGACCGAUCCUGAUGUCUUCGGAUGGAUUUGAGUAAGAGCAUAGCUGUUGGGACCCGAAAGAUGGUGAACUAUGCCUGAAUAGGGUGAAGCCAGAGGAAACUCUGGUGGAGGCUCGCAGCGGUUCUGACGUGCAAAUCGAUCGUCAAAUUUGGGCAUAGGGGCGAAAGACUAAUCGAAC